rnacentral:rRNA from 1 species
GACGAACGCUGGCGGUGUGCUUAACACAUGCAAGUGGUGCGACGAACCAGAGCUUGCUCUGGGGCAAAGCCGCGAACGGGUGAGUAACACGUGGGUAAUCUACCCCGAUGACCGGGACAACCCGAGGAAACUCGGGCUAAUACCGGAUGUGGUGCGGAGACAUAAGUCUCUUCACUAAAGGGAGCUUCGGCUUCCGCAUUGGGAGGGGCCCGCGGCCCAUUAGCUUGUUGGUGGGGUCAAGGCCUACCAAGGCAACGAUGGGUAGCUGGUCUGAGAGGACGAUCAGCCACACUGGGACUGAGACACGGCCCAGACUCCUACGGGAGGCAGCAGUGGGGAAUCUUGCGCAAUGCGCGAAAGCGUGACGCAGCAACACCGCGUGAGGGAAGAAGGCCUUAGGGUUGUAAACCUCUUUCAGAUGGGACGAAGGUUCUCCGGUGAAUAGCCGAGAGGAUUGACGGUACCGUCAGAAGAAGCUCCGGCUAACUACGUG